GUGGUGCUUGCAGUGGCAAAACUCGGCGCUCGGUUGCUAAGGUGUUUCUAGGCGUUUGUUAGAGCGGUUGCUAGGGUACCCAAGGUGGUUGCUAGGGUGUUGUUAUGUGGUUGCUAGGUUAUUUCGGGUGGUUGCUAGGGUCCCCAGGAUGGUUGCUAGGGCCGUUGCUAGGGUACCAAGGAUGGUUGCUAGGGUAAUUGUGGUGGUUGCUAGGGUGUUGCUAUGUGGUUGCUAGGUCAAUUGGGGUGGUUGCUAAGGUGUUGCUAGGCGAUUGCUAGGGUGUUCUGAGUGGUUGUUAGGUGGUUGCUAUGGUAACCGGGGUGGUUGCUAGGAAGUUGCUAAGGUACUUGGGGUGGUUGCUAAGCGGUUGCUAGGGUGUUCUGGGUGGUUGCUAGGCGGUUGCUAGGCAGUUGCUAAGGUAUUUGGGGUGGUUGCUAAGGUGUUGCUAGGCGGUUGCUAGGGUCUUUUGGGUGGUUGCUAGGCAGUUGCUAUGGUAACCUGGGUGGUUGCUAGGCAGUUGCUAUCAUAACCGGGGUAGUUGCUAUGAUGAUACUAGGUGGUUGGUAGUUGUCACAGAUGGUCACUAUGUAGUUUUUAUAGAGUUCAUAGCAUGUUGUUGGCCCAUUUGAGCACUUAGCUAAUCACUGUUAGCAUGUAGCUAUUCACUGCUAGCAUGACUAGCAUGUUAGAAUUCCCGUUUGCUAGCAUGAGUC
ensembl:lncRNA